rnacentral:rRNA from 1 species
GUAGGUGGCAAGCGUUGUCCGGAAUUAUUGGGCGUAAAGCGCGCGCAGGUGGUUCUUUAAGUCCGAUGUGAAAGCCCCCGGGCUCAACCGGGGGAGGGUCAUUGGAAACUGGGGAACUUGAGUGCAGGAGAGGAAAGUGGAAUUCCACGUGUAGCGGUGAAAUGCGUAGAUAUGUGGAGGAACACCAGUGGCGAAGGCGACUUUCUGGCCUGUAACUGACACUGAGGCGCGAAAGCGUGGGGAGCAAACAGGAUUAGAUACCCUGGUAGUCCACGCCGUAAACGAUGAGUGCUAAGUGUUGGGGGGUUUCCGCCCCUCAGUGCUGCAGCCAACGCAUUAAGCACUCCGCCUGGGGAGUACGGUCGCAAAGACUG